CAAUAGCGUAUAUUAAAGUUGUUGCAGUUAAAAAGCUCGUAGUUGGAUUUCUGGUUGAAGCGACCGGUCGGGCGUUGAUUCGUCUGCACUGGAGUCGGUUUUGGCCAUCCUCUAGGAAAGUGCGUCUGGUAUUAAGUUGUCGGGCGUAUGAUCCUGGUCUUUUACUGUGAAAAAUUAGAGUGUUUAAAGCAGGCCUUCGCCUUGAAUACAUUAGCAUGGAAUAAUAAGAUAGGACUUUGGUCUAUUUUGUUGGUUUGCAGACCGAAGUAAUGAUUAAUAGGGACAGUUGGGGGUAUUCGUAUUUAAUUGUCAGAGGUGAAAUUCUUGGAUUUAUGAAAGACGAACUACUGCGAAAGCAUUUACCAAGGAUGUUUUCAUUGAUCAAGAACGAAAGUUAGGGGAUCGAAGAUGAUCAGAUACCAU
rnacentral:rRNA from 1 species